UGGCAGAAGCAUGUAAUCUUAUAGUUCCUGGCACCUGUGUUGGUUGCUCAGGUCCAAGCCAAGAGAGGAGACUAAGCAAAGAAAGGCUGCAUCUGCAGCCUCACUUCUGUAGGCCAGAAAUGACCAAGUGUGCACCAUGACUGGACGGGAACCGAAAGGGAACAGUUUAGCUUACACAGCUGGGAGCUUACAAAAAGUCCAUUUAUCUUAAGAGAAGUAUUUGGCUUUGUGUAAACAGUGCUGUUGCUCCAGGGCCUUUCUGGCAGUCCGGACUUCCAGGCCAGCUCGGAAUCCCUUGUUAAUUGACUCAAGUCAUGAAAAGGUGCCAUCAAGGCUGCUUUGAACUCUUGCCUAUUCCAAAGCUGGACAAAUCUCAGGCAUGCACAGUAGGAACAGCAGUAAUGAGACUCACACCUCCGAGUUUACAGCGCAGGAUUUUGCCCGUUCAGGUGUGAAUAAACCAGCAGACCAGAAUGAAAAUGGGAGACCAAUUCAGAGACAAUCUCAGUGGUGCAGGCGGGAGGUGACAGAGACCUAGACAAGGCGGUGGCAGAUGAAGAUGAACAGAAGAGGUGGACUUCAGAUUCCUGCUGGACACCAUAUGAAUACCUUGGUGACAGUUUGAAUGUGGGGCGUGAGGUAAAAGGGAAUUUCAAGAGUUAUUUCUGGCUUGAGUACCCAGGUGGGCCGUGGUGCCAUUUACUGAAAUCGGAUUACUGGGAGAGGGAUGGGUUUCAGUCAUGUAUUAUAAGUGACAUCAGUUGGCACAGUCGUGUGGCUUUCUCCUGCAGUGCUGAGCUGGCACAGAGGAGA